GACGGAGGGUGCGAGCGUUAAUCGGAAUUACUGGGCGUAAAGCGCAUGUAGGCGGCCGAACAAGUCAGGGGUGAAAUCCUCGGGCUUAACCUGGGAAGUGCACUUGAUACUGUCCGGCUAGAGUUUGGCAGAGGAAAGUAGAAUUCCCGGUGUAGCGGUGAAAUGCGUAGAUAUCGGGAGGAAUACCAGUGGCGAAGGCGGCUUUCUGGGCCAAUACUGACGCUGAUGUGCGAAAGCGUGGCGAGCAAACAGG
rnacentral:rRNA from 1 species